GAUGAACGCUGGCGGCGUGCUUAACACAUGCAAGUCGAACGAGAAAUGGAGACGGAAACCUUCGGGCGGAAGGCUUCAUUUCGAGUGGCGGCCGGGUGAGUAACGCGUUGGUAACCUGCCUCAUACAGGGGGAUAACAGUUGGAAACGACUGUUAAUACUGCAUAAGACCACAGCACCGCAUGGUGCGGUGGUAAAAACUCCGGUGGUAUGAGAUGGACCCGCGUUCGAUUAGCCAGUUGGCGGGGUAACGGCCCACCAAAGCGACGAUCGAUAGCCGAUCUGAGAGGAUGACCGGACACAUUGGGACUGAGACACGGCCCAAACUCCUACGGGAGGCAGCAGUGGGGAAUAUUGCACAGUGGGGGAAGCGCUGAUGCAGCGACGCCGCGUGAGUGAAGAAGUACUUCGGUAUGUAAAGCGCUAUCAGCAGGGAAGAAAAUGACGGUACCUGAGCAAGAAGCCCCGGCUAACUACGUG
rnacentral:rRNA from 1 species